GACGAACGCUGGCGGCGUGCUUAACACAUGCAAGUCGAACGGAAAGACCCUGCUUUUGUGGGGUGCUCGAGUGGCGAACGGGUGAGUAACACGUGAGUAACCUGCCCUUGACUUUGGGAUAACUUCAGGAAACUGGGGCUAAUACCGGAUAGGAGCUCCUGCUGCAUGGUGGGGGUUGGAAAGUUUCGGCGGUUGGGGAUGGACUCGCGGCUUAUCAGCUUGUUGGUGGGGUAGUGGCUUACCAAGGCUUUGACGGGUAGCCGGCCUGAGAGGGUGACCGGCCACGUUGGGACUGAGAUACGGCCCAGACUCCUACGGGAGGGAGCAGGGGGGAAGUUUGCAAAAUGGGCUGAGGCCUGAUGCGGCACCGCCGCGUGGGGGAUAACGGCAUUCGGGUUGUAAACCACUUUCGCCGGUGACGAAGCGUGAGUGACGGUAAUGGGUAAAGAAGCACCGGCUAACUACGUG
rnacentral:rRNA from 1 species